ensembl:lncRNA
GUGUGUGUUAAUGCAGGUGUGUUAAUGCAGGUGUGUUAGUGUGUGUGUUAAUGCAGGUGUAUUAGUGUGUGUUAAUGCAGGUGUAUUAUUGUGUGUUAAUGCAGGUGUAUUAUUGUGUGUUAAUGCAGGUGUGUUAAUGCAGGUGUGUUAAUGCAGGUGUGUUAGUGUGUGUUAAUGCAGGUGUGUUAGUGUGUGUUAAUGCAGGUGUAUUAUUGUGUGUUAAUGCAGGGUGUAUUAGUGUGUGUUAAUGCGGGUGUGUUAGUGUGUGUUAAUGCGGGUGUGUUAGUGUGUGUUAAUGCGGGUGUGUUAGUGUGUUAAUGCGGGUGUGUUAGUGUGUGUUAAUGCGGGUGUGUUAGUGUGUGUUAAUACGGGUGUGUUGGUGUGUUAAUGCGGGUGUGUUAGUGUGUGUUAAUGCGGGUGUGUUAGUGUGUUAAUGCGGGUGUGUUAGUGUGUGUUAAUGCGGGUGUGUUAGUGUGUGUUAAUGCAGGUGUGUUAUUGUGUGUUAAUGCAGGUGUGUUAUUGUGUGUUAAUGCAGGUGUGUUAGUGUGUGUGUUAAUGCAGGUGUAUCAUUGUGUGUUAAUGCAGGUGUGUUAGUGUGUGUUAAUGCAGGUGUAUUAUUGUGUGUUAAUGCAGGUGUGUUAUUGUGUGUUGAUGCAGGUGUAUUAUUGUGUGUUAAUGCAGGUGUGUUAGUGUGUGUUAAUGCAGGUGUGUUAGUGUGUGUUAAUGCAGGUGUAUUAUUGUGUGUUAAUGCAGGUGUAUUAUUGUGUGUUAAUGCAGGUGUAUUAUUGUGUGUUAAUGCAGGUGUGUUAAUGCGGGGUGUGUUAGUGUGUGUUAAUGCAGGUGUAUUAUUGUGUGUUAAUGCAGGUGUAUUAGUGUGUGUUAAUGCAGGUGUAUUAUUGUGUGUUAAUGCAGGUGUGUUAGUGUGUGUGUUAAUGCAGGUGUAUUAUUGUGUGUUAAUGCAG